rnacentral:rRNA from 1 species
GGAUGCGAUCAUACCAGCACUAAAGCACUAGAUCCCAUCAAAACUCCGAAGUUAAGCGUGCUUAGGCAAGAGUAGUACUAUGAUGGGUGGUGACCUCUUGGGAAGUCCUCGUGUUCAUGUU